rnacentral:rRNA from 1 species
UCAAAAACAUGUCCUUUUGUAGAUAAUUUAAGGUCUAGCCUGCCCACUGAUAUUUUAAAUGGCCGUGGUAUUUUGACCGUGCUAAGGUAGCAUAAUCAUUAGUUUUUUAAUUAAAAACUGGAAUGAAAGGUUGGAUGAGAAAAUAGCUGUCUCUAUUAAAUUUAAUUAGAAUUUUAUUUUUAAGUUAAAAAGCUUAAUUGUUAUUAAAAGACGAGAAGACCCUAUAGAGUUUAAUUAUUUAAUAAAAAUUAUAUUUUAGUAUUAAUUUAUUUAUUUUAUUGAAUAAUUUAAUUGGGGUGAUUGAAAAAUUUAAUUAACUUUUUUUUAUUUAAAAACAUUAAUUUAUGAAUAAAUGAUCCGAUAUUUUUGAUUAUAAGAUAAAAUUACCUUAGGGAUAACAGCGUAAUUUUUUUAGAAAGUUCAUAUUAAAAAAAAAGAUUGCGACCUCGAUGUUGGAUUAAAAUAAAUUUUUGGUGUAGAAGCUAAAAUAUUAGGUCUGUUCGACCUUUAAAAUUUUACAUGAUCUGAG